GUGUCAGCAGCCGCGGUAAUACGAAGGGGGCUAGCGUUGCUCGGAAUGACUGGGCGUAAAGGGCGCGUAGGCUGUUUGUACAGUCAGAUGUGAAAUCCCCGGGCUUAACCUGGGAACUGCAUUUGAUACGUGCAGACUAGAGUCCGAGAGAGGGUUGUGGAAUUCCCAGUGUAGAGGUGAAAUUCGUAGAUAUUGGGAAGAACACCGGUUGCGAAGGCGGCAACCUGGCUCGGAACUGACGCUGAGGCGCGAAAGCGUGGGGAGCGAACAGGAUUAGAUACCCUGGUAGUCCACGCUGUAAACGAUGUGUGCUGGAUGUUGGGUAAUUUUAUUACUCAGUGUCGGAGCUAACGCGUUAAGCACACCGCCUGGGGAGUACGGCCGCAAGGUUGAAACUCAAAUAAAUUGACGG
rnacentral:rRNA from 1 species